AGGACGGUGUCAUCAGCUGUUGUGUAGGUAAGAGAUGCCCUAAGGGAUGGUCCCAGCGUGAUGACUACUGUUAAAAGUUCAACCUCAAUGAAAAGGACUGGGCUGAUGCAGAGGUUGCCUGCGUUGCUGUUGGUGGGAAUCUGGCCUCCAUCCACACCGAAGACCACUACAACUUUGUGAAAGGUUUGA